rnacentral:rRNA from 1 species
UGCGUAGGCGGCUUGGUAAGUCACGUGUGAAAGGCCGGGGCUCAACCCCGGAUCUGCAUGUGAGACUGCCUGGUUCGAGCACGGUAGAGGCGGGCGGAAUUCCUGGUGUAGCGGUGGAAUGCGUAGAUAUCAGGAAGAACACUGGUGGCGAAGGCGGCUCGCUGGGCCGUUGCUGACGCUGAGGCACGAAAGCGUGGGGAGCAAACAGGAUUAGAUACCCUGGUAGUCCACGCCCUAAACGAUGGACACUAGGCGUCGGGGGGAGCGACCCUCCCGGUGCCGUCGCUAACGCAAUAAGUGUCCCGCCUGGGGAGUACGGCCGCAAGGCUGAA